UACUCCCAGCCGCGGAAGUAGAUCGAUCUCCAUCCCUCAUCGGUCCCAUGGAUUUGAAUUCUGCGCAAGUAUUGUUGGUUCCUUGUUCCCCAUCUCGUCUCGGCGUGUUCCGCAACGUAAAGCUCGCGGUCGCGGACGAAACCAAGCUCCCCUCUCGAAAUUUCCUCCCAUCCUGGCUCCUGAGUCCGGAGAAGUAAUCCCAAUUCUGAACUGCUGCUGUGGCAGACAACCCCUGCACAACAACAAGCACGGUAGCUCCUGCUCCCGCUCUAGCAUCCGCUGCAGCCUGCGGGUGCAGUCAUGGGACCCCCCUCGUACCGGCUCGCGGCGGCGAUCACGGCCCCCUCCAGCGGCGAGUUCCUCGUCGUCCGGCAGCAGCCCCCGCCGUCCCCGCCGUCCGCUGCACCGGGGGAGGAGGAGUACCGGCGUUACGUCGACAGCGACCUCUACGACCUCCCGUCGGCACCCCUCCUGCGCCUCGCGGAUGAGCUGGCCCGGUCGGGCGUGGCCGUCGCCGGCGCUGAUUCCCUCGUCGGACGCCUCGACGUCCCCGCCGCCCUCGACCAGAUUUUGAACCCACUGGGUUUGACUACUGCGAUGUGUGGGGAGUGGAGGCUUCUCAAGUAUGUUGAGGAAGCAGAGUUUGGCCCGGAUGCCGGUGUCAACACGGUUCUCAUCUCCGGGUCGCUGGAGUCGAAGCUGGAGAUGUUGCAAGACUCAUGUAAAUGGAUGUCUAAGGAGGGCGCCUCGGAAUUGCUUUCUGAAGCUAAGCCUGGUAGUGCUCGAAUUGGGCCAUAUGCGUACAUUGGACUUCUGAAGCCGGAGGUGUCGUCCAGUCAGACUGCCGCCUCUGCACUUGCCUCACAGGAAUACCCUCCUGGAUUAACACUUGUACCAAUGAAGAGUAGGACCUUGGCUCCUUUUCGUACAACUAACCUUGUGGUAAUACAAGCAACCAGUGAUGCAUGUGGAUCAAAGCGCUCUGAUUUUUUUGCUUGUGGAGAUGCUCUACUGAUAGAUCCUGGAUGUUGCUCACAGGUUCAUGGGGAGCUUGCAGAUCUUGUCAAUUCCCUUCCAAAGAAGUUAGUGGUCCUUGUUACACAUCAUCAUAAUGAUCAUGUCGAUGGUCUGUCGGUUGUUCAGAGAUGCAACCCUGAUGCUGUUCUUUUGACACACGAAAACACAAUGAAGCGGAUAGGGAAAGGGAAUUGGUCAAUUGGCUAUACUGCAGUGACUGGUGGUGAAAACAUAUGCAUAGGUGACCAAGAACUACAAGUUGUUUUUGCCCCUGGUCAUACAGAUGGUCAUAUGGGAGUUCUCCAUGUUAAUACCAAUGCACUAAUUGUUGGAGAUCAUUGCGUAGGGCAUGGGAGUGCAACAUUGGACAGUAGAGCUGGUGGCAACAUGAAGGACUACUUCCAAACCACAUACAAAUUCUUGGAGAUGUCCCCACAUGUGCUAAUUCCAAUGCAUGGAAGGAUCAACCUAUGGCCUAGACAUAUGCUUUGUGGAUACCUAAGGCAUCGAAGGGCUCGAGAAGCCUCCAUUCUGAAAACCAUAGAGAAUGGUGCUCAAACUCUGUUUGACAUAGUUUCAAAGACUUAUGGUGAUGUAGACAGUAAAUUGUGGAUUCCUGCUUCCUUUAAUGUUCGCCUUCAUGUUGAUCAUCUGAACUCUCAACAUAAACUUCCUAAGGAUUUCUCCUUAGAAAUGUUCAAUGGAAGCUGCGAUGAAUUUGUUUCUAGCCUAUAAUGAUCGGGAAUGUGAGAAGGCCCAAAUGCUCCUUCUGAGUUUGUAUUCCAUCUAGACUGCUUUGUUAAAUUGUGUAACCCUUUUUUACACGAAAAUAAACGAAUGUGUGAGGGGUAUGCUAUUUAAUGAACCAAAGCUUGUUGGCCGUCAAAAGGACAAAUAUUGAAAAACUCCGUUAGGUUGCCAUUCAAAUAUAUUUAGCUUUUGAAUGGAAUCCUAAAACAUUGUGUACCACUACAUCUAAAUGUAGCUUGUGUAUUUGUACCGAGGACUUUUCCAUGGAAAAGUUUGAAUCAAGCUGUGGAAUACAUUUCAUUUUCCGGUGGGCCGUGGCAUAUGCAAGAGCCAGGAGCUCACCGACUAUCGUUGCGGCAAGCGCCCUUGCCGGGGGUUUGGCAAUUGCUUAUGCUCUCAAAAGGAACAAUGGCAACUAGCCGUAGGAUUCUCCAAGACGGGUAAAUCCCCUUCCGCGUACGCAUCCCUGCCAUAACCUUAACGUCGUUUGCAUACCGAGUCAAAUUGUAAAGUCACAUUAUUUUGUCCAUUACAGUAUUCCAUUGCUGAACUUUGCUCCA